UCUGCCCAGAGCCCCGAACAGAAGCUGGCUCCGCCCACUCCUCAGAGCUGCGCCUGCUGCCCAUGGAGCUGGCUGCUGGGGAGGAGGGCGUGGGGUUGACCCGAGGGAGAGCCGGGGCAGCUGCUCGUGCCCCAAGGCCAGUGGACGGGGACUUCCACAGAAUCAUGGUCUCUGGUGCCGUGAAGGUCCUCCUCCAGCCCAGCGCCUGCACAGGGACACGGGGACACAGGGACACAGGGAUGGUGAAGUUGUCAAAGGAGGAUUUUCCUUUGGUGCCCAGGUGUUGCCCUGACCUGGGGCACUCACUGCCUCCCGAUGGCUGAGCCGCUCGGGGACAGCUCUGGCCCCACACUGCACAGCCGAUGCCCUCUAGGGCUCCCUGCCUCAGGGCAACCC
rnacentral:lncRNA from 1 species